rnacentral:lncRNA from 1 species
UGGGGAGUUUGUAAUGUAUAAAUCUCUAGGCACUUGUCUUUCCAAAGCACCUAAACUGAUCUUUAAUUAUUUUUAUUCACAAAAGUCUUACAACUUUUUCUUCACUUGAGCAUUUUUUACAUUCAUAAAAGUAUUUAAAUUUCUGCUCUCUAUACUUUUAAGAUUAAUACCACUUCUUCAUACUUUCAUAAUUUUACAUUCAUAUGCCUUUUUUAUACCACAGCUCUGUAACAAUUCUAUAUCGACAAAUAUUGACAGGUCUUACAACUUUGUCUUCACGUGAGCAUUUUUCACAUUCAUACAAGUUUUUAAACUUCUGCUCUUAAUACUUUUGAGAUCAAUACCACCUAUAUAGCACUUUAAUAAUUUUGCAUUGAUACAGCUUUUAGCUACAGCUCUGUAACACUCUUUAUAUUUAUAUGUAGGGCAGCAACUGAAGCUCACCACUAGAUGCGGCUGUCAUACCAUAAUCAAAUAUUUCUAUGGUGAUGUGCCGACUGCAAACAUCUUUUUUAUGUAGGGCAGUGACAGAAGCACACCACCAGAUGGUGCUGUUUUUCCAUUAUUACAAAUCACUACGGUUACAUGCUGCUGACUGCAAACAUCUUUUCAGUAUUCACACAUGGAGCGGGGCCAUUGUUUUGUUUAGGCAUUAGCCGUUUUGUUUUGAAUGGACUCUCAAAGGCUUAAAAAAUUGUUUUUUGGAUUAAAAAAAUGUACUAUUUUUGAUCAGGGCAGAAGUUAUUUGAGAGAUGUGUGAAAAAAAAUCUGGAAAAAAUAUGAAUCCAAUAUGUUUUUACAGCAGUCGAUGUCAGAGGCUUUUUUUAGCAACUGAGCGUUAACAAAGAAUAUUUUUUGGAAAUCUGAUCCUACAAAAAAAACUUCAAAGGCAUCAAAGUCAAUGAUAUUACUAAUCCUUUACAAAUUCAAGACUAUAAAACCCUGCAAGAGAUAUCCAGUUUCAGGUUAUGUUUUCGAAUAAAAAUCAGUCUCUAUUCUUAAGAUGGUCUUAUUUUCAUGAUACCACUUAUAACAAUAGGUCAAUGAACUGACAGGUCAUCAUAACAACAGGUCACCAUAACAUUCAACACCAUCCAACCGAUCAUACUCAAAGACAAGCCCACAGAGAUGGGCGUGGAUCCUACCUGUGUUUCCUGGAUCACAAAUUGCCUGACAGGAAUCACACAGUUCUUCACGCUGGGGAACUGUGUUUCUGGGCCUUAUUGAGAAGUACAGGGGUUCCACAACGGACGGUCCUGGCUCCAUUCCUAUUGACAGGGUAUACACCAGACUUCAAAUACAGCACUGAGUCCUGAAAUUUUUGUAGAGGGCGCUAUGACCACAUUUUUGUUGGAAAUCCAUUUUGACAGUGGAAAACUUUUUGUUUAACUUUGAGUCCAACGUAGGUGUCAUUGAAUCCCUCGGUUUAGGUCAAACACAGGAGCUGAACUUACAUUUUGAAAUUUUGCAGAGGGAGAAAUGAAGGAGUUUUUUGAUGGGUCCCCAAUUUUUACAUUGGCACCCAUUUCUUUUCCUCUUGGGGUUCAAGAUAAGUGUCAUUGAAUCCACUUGUCUGGACCGCAGGAGCGGGUUUACGUUUUGAAAUUUUGAAGGGGGCGCUAUGGGGCCUUUUUAUGAUGGAUAUCCAUUAUGACAGUUAAACCCUUUUUGUUCGUCUUGAGGUCAAACAUAAGUGUCAUCAAUUUCAUAGGUUUAGGUCAAACACAGGAGCGUGGUUCACAUUAAAGAAAUUUGAAGGUGGCGCCAUAGAGCCAUGUUUUGAUGGAUCUCCAUUUUGAUAUUCAAACUGUUUUUGUUCGUGUUAAGGUUCAACUUCAGUGUCACUAAUUCCACAGGUUUUGGACGCACACCAGAGCAGGGCUUUCAUUUAGAAAUGUUGUAGAGAACGCAGUCGUGCCAUUUUCAGUUGGAUCCAAGAUAAGUGUCUGUUAGACCAUUGGUCUGAGUCACUCAAAGAAGCAGGCGUUUCAUUUUGAAAUUAUGAAGGGGGGUGCUAUGUAGCUAUUUCUUGAAAGACCUCAAUUUUGACAUUGAACCCAUUUUUGUUUGUCUUGAGGUCAAACAUAAGUGACAUCAAUUCCAAAGGUUUUGGUCAAACACAGGAGCGGGGCUUACUUUUUUCUUUUAAUUUGAAGCUGGCACUCUGGAGCUAUUUGAAGUUGAUUCUCCAUUUUGAUGCUGGAGCCCUUUAUGUUCAACUUUCGGUUUGUCAUAAUUGUACUUUAUUUCAAAAGUUUGGUUCGUACACAGAAAAAGGGCUUUUAUUUUUCAAUUGGGUACCCAAGGGGGCAAUAUGUGACCAUUGAUGGUUGGUUCUCCAUUUUGACAUUUUCCUCAUCACAGAGUGAUGAGACUCAUUUGUAAUAAUGGAAAAACAGCACCAUCUAGUGGUGUGCUUCAGUGACUUCCCCACAUAAAAAUGUAGAAAAUAUUACAGAGCUGAAGCUAAAAUACUUGGAUGAAGGUAAAAAUAAAAAAAAUUGCUAAAAUUGUAUGUCUCCUGUGAAUUACAAGGAAAAAUGAUCAGUCGAGGUGCUUCGGAUAGCCAAAUGCCUAAAAAUGUAUGUAUUACAACCUCCCCGUGAAAUGUGGAAGUACUCAAAAGAGGUUAACAGUCAGAAUGUAACCAUAGUAAUUUUUGAUUAUGGUAUGACAGCACCAUCUAGUGGGGUGUACUUUUCACCUUUCUACCAUUUAUACUUUUUGCAAUAUUUCACUUUUUCGGUACAAUUAGAAGUGAUCAUGAGAGUGCCAGAAUUCUUAAGAUGGUCUUAUUUUCAUGAUACCACUUGGAAAAACUGCGCCAGGUAAAGAAGUUCAGACGGUAUCCACUUCACCCAUGGUGGAGCACUUUUCAUGUGUUGUGUGCUCAUCGAUUUCCUACACACUCUGUCCGCGCUUGGUAAGUUAGUAACUGAAGCACACUAUAGGGUAGUGUUGUGCCGCUACCAGUGACUAUGGUUACAUGCUGCUGACUGCAAACCUCUUUUGAAUAUUUCAACAUUUCAUGGGGAGUUUGUAAUGUAUAAAUCUCUAGGCACUUGUCUUUCCAAAGCACCUAGACUGAUCUUUAAUUAUUUUUAUUCACAAAAGUCUUACAACUUUUUCUUCACUUGAGCAUUUUUUACAUUCAUAAAAGUAUUUAAAUUUCUGCUCUCUAUACUUUUAAGAUUAAUACCACUUCUUCAUACUUUCAUAAUUUUACAUUCAUAUGCCUUUUUUAUACCACAGCUCUGUAACAAUUCUAUAUCGACAAAUAUUGACAGGUCUUACAACUUUGUCUUCACGUGAGCAUUUUUCACAUUCAUACAAGUUUUUAAACUUCUGCUCUUAAUACUUUUGAGAUCAAUACCACCUAUUUAGCACUUUAAUAAUUUUGCAUUGAUACAGCUUUUAGCUACAGCUCUGUAACACUCUUUAUAUUUAUAUGUAGGGCAGCAACUGAAGCUCACCACUAGAUGCGGCUGUCAUACCAUAAUCAAAUAUUUCUAUGGUGAUGUGCCGACUGCAAACAUCUUUUUUAUGUAGGGCAGUGACAGAAGCACACCACCAGAUGGUGCUGUUUUUCCAUUAUUACAAAUCACUACGGUUACAUGCUGCUGACUGCAAACAUCUUUUCAGUAUUCACACAUGGAGCGGGGCCAUUGUUUUGUUUAGGCAUUAGCCGUUUUGUUUUGAAUGGACUCUCAAAGGCUUAAAAAAUUGUUUUUUGGAUUAAAAAAAUGUACUAUUUUUGAUCAGGGCAGAAGUUAUUUGAGAGAUGUGUGAAAAAAAAUCUGGAAAAAAUAUGAAUCCAAUAUGUUUUUACAGCAGUCGAUGUCAGAGGCUUUUUUUAGCAACUGAGCGUUAACAAAGAAUAUUUUUUGGAAAUCUGAUCCUACAAAAAAAACUUCAAAGGCAUCAAAGUCAAUGAUAUUACUAAUCCUUUACAAAUUCAAGACUAUAAAACCCUGCAAGAGAUAUCCAGUUUCAGGUUAUGUUUUCGAAUAAAAAUCAGUCUCUAUUCUUAAGAUGGUCUUAUUUUCAUGAUACCACUUAUAACAAUAGGUCAAUGAACUGACAGGUCAUCAUAACAACAGGUCACCAUAACAUUCAACACCAUCCAACCGAUCAUACUCAAAGACAAGCCCACAGAGAUGGGCGUGGAUCCUACCUGUGUUUCCUGGAUCACAAAUUGCCUGACAGGAAUCACACAGUUCUUCACGCUGGGGAACUGUGUUUCUGGGCCUUAUUGAGAAGUACAGGGGUUCCACAACGGACGGUCCUGGCUCCAUUCCUAUUGACAGGGUAUACACCAGACUUCAAAUACAGCACUGAGUCCUGAAAUUUUUGUAGAGGGCGCUAUGACCACAUUUUUGUUGGAAAUCCAUUUUGACAGUGGAAAACUUUUUGUUUAACUUUGAGUCCAACGUAGGUGUCAUUGAAUCCCUCGGUUUAGGUCAAACACAGGAGCUGAACUUACAUUUUGAAAUUUUGUAGAGGGAGAAAUGAAGGAAUUUUUUGAUGGGUCCCCAAUUUUUACAUUGGCACCCAUUUCUUUUCC